AACAGAGAAGGGAGAAAGGGGGCGGAGAGAGAGAAGGAAGAAGGAUGGAGGAAAGCAAGGGCAGAGGGUAAAGAAGAAAGCUGUGAUAUACAAGCUGAGCAACGUACUCUCAACUCACACCCCAUCCAAUGGCUCCCAUCUCAUCAGAGCAAAAGCCAGUGGCCCUCCAGAGGCCAAUAAGGCCUCAGGGAACCACUUCCCUAGACAAUCUCUCCACCUUGAGCCCUGAGUGGGGAUGAUCUUCCCUAGAUAUCUGUGUGUCUCACCCCAACUUUCUUCAAGUGCUCACUCAAAUGAUGCCUCAGGGAGGCCUACCAUGCACCCUUCGUAUAAUGCCCCCUCUUCCCCACAGUCUCGCUCUACUCUGCUCCAUAGCACCCUCGCCCUCUC
rnacentral:lncRNA from 1 species